GAUGAAGAACGUAGCGAAAUGCGAUAAGUAGUGUGAAUUGCAGAAUUCAGUGAAUCAUCGAGUCUUUGAACGCACAUUGCGCCCCCUGGUAUUCCGGGGGGCAUGCCUGUCCGAGCGUCAUUGCUGCCCUCAAGCACGGCUUGUGUGUUGGGCCUCCGCCCCCCGGCUCCCGGGGGGCGGGCCCGAAAGGCAGCGGCGGCACCGCGUCCGGUCCUCGAGCGUAUGGGGCUUCGUCACCCGCUCCGUAGGCCCGGCCGGCGCCCGCCGGCGACCCCCCUCAAUCUUUCCAGGUUGACCUCGGAUCAGGUAGGGAUACCCGCUGAACUUAAGCAUAUCAAUAAGCGGAGGA
rnacentral:misc_RNA from 1 species